rnacentral:misc_RNA from 1 species
CGCACAUUGCGCCCAUGAGUAUUCUCUUGGGCAUGCCUGUUCGAGCGUCAUUGCAACCCUUAAGCCUAGCUUAGUGUUGGGAAUCUACUGCCUUGUAGCUCCCGAAAACCAACGGCGGAUUCGCGGUAUCCUCUGAGCGUAGUAAUUAUUAUCUCGCUUCUGUUAGGUGCCGUGAUUCUAGCCGCUAAACCCCCUAUUUUUAAAGGUUGACCUCGGAUCAGGUAGGAAUACCCGCUGAACUUAA